rnacentral:pre_miRNA from 1 species
GUUAAGUUAAUUUUUCGGUUGAUACCUACAAUAUUUUGACUCUUCAUCUUAUUUGAUUUUUUUUACGAUUAAUAUUUUUAUUGUUACUAGAUGGUAAAAUAUGAAUAAUACUUUAUGCGUGACUAAUUUUUUAAGUUUUUUUAUAAAAUUUUUAAAUAAGACGAAUGAUCAAAUGUUUAGACACAUAAAUCGAAAAAUAAAGUUAUU